rnacentral:rRNA from 1 species
UACGUAGGGGGCAAGCGUUGUCCGGAAUCAUUGGGCGUAAAGAGCGUGUAGGCGGCCAGAAAAGUCCGCUGUGAAAACUCGAGGCUCAACUUCGAGCUGUCGGUGGAAACUUUCUGGCUAGAGUCCGGAAGAGGAGAAUGGAAUUCCCGGUGUAGCGGUGAAAUGCGCAGAUAUCGGGAGGAACACCAGCGGCGAAGGCGGCACUCUGGGCUGGAACUGACGCUGAGGAGCGAAAGCGUGGGUAGCAAACAGG